AUAAUACUCCCUCCGUCCGGAAAUAUUUGUCCUAGAAAUAAAUAAAUCUAGACUUAUUUUAAUUAUAGAUACAACAAUUAUAUUCAUUUUUAGGACAAGUAUUUUCGGACAGAGGGAGUAUAUA
rfam:Hordeum vulgare subsp. vulgare, WGS project CAJW01000000 data, contig: morex_contig_273214